rnacentral:rRNA from 1 species
AUGGACACACAUACUGAUAGUCGGAACCAGGGGGAUUAUAGUGGCACUGUAGAAUGGUAUAAUAGUUCUGCUGUAUAUGACCUACUUUUGUUGGAGAACCAGAUUCCCUUCUUCAUUGUCAAGACAAUUUAUCGGUUCUUCUCACGUCAUGUGGCAACUACUUGGUUACUCACGAAUAACAUUUCUGAAUUCAUGGAAGGCACUCUUUACCAUUUCUCGAAAGUAAUAACUGAGGCUAAUAGGCCAGAAGAUUUUUACCAUCUGCUGCACCUGUGUCAUAAGUACCUGAAACCUAGUCACAAGUUUGAAUAUGACUAUCAUCAGUAUGCUGCAAAUCCUCAUCGCUUCCAAUUUGUACUUGAUGUUAGCCGCAAGAUCUUCACUUGUGGAGAGGAGCAAAACAUGUUCCAUGAGCUAAAUUUGUUAAAUUCAAUGCAGCAGGCCAAUCGAUGGCGUAGGGCUGUGGAAUAUCAUGAAGCGGGAAUGCAGUUCAAGAAAAGGGAGUUUGAUGAAAACAAUCCUCAUUCCCUAUUGGACAUUAGAUUCAGAAAAGGUCUCAUGGAAUUACCAUGUUUGCUGAUCGAUGAUAAGUCUUCUUUGCUAUUCAGAAAUCUUUUAGCUUUUGAGCAAACAUGUCGUCAAGUUGGAGAUGACAUCACUGCAUAUUUUGUGCUCAUGUCCCAGCUUGCUAGUACGUCAGCUGAUGUGGCUCUUCUUGCUCAGAAAGGGAUUACAGUGCACCAGAUGGAAAGCGAUGAGGAUGUAUCAACUCUCUUCACCAAGCUUUCUGAGUAUGUGGCGUUUGACUUCAAUGGUGAACACUACCUGAAAUCUCUGUGCUGUGUCAUGGAAGCACACUACCAAAGUCGUAUUAAUAGGUGGAUGGCAUGGCUAUGGCACAAUCAUUUCAGCAACCCAUGGUUAGGUUUUGCUGCCAUAGCUUCGGUUUUCGUAGUCCUCUGUAGUGUCAUGCAAACUGUUCUUGCUUUCUUAGCAUACAUGGGAUGA